AGCAGCCGCGGUAAUUCCAGCUCCAAUAGCGUAUAUUAAAGUUGCUGCAGUUAAAAAGCUCGUAGUUGAAUUUCGGGACCAUCAUGUCGGUCGUGCCUCGGUACGUACUGGCAUUGUUGGUUUCUACCUUCUGACGAACCAUGAUGUCAUUUAUUUGGUGUCGUGGGAAAUCAGGACUGUUACUUUGAAAAAUUAGAGUGUUUAAAGCAGGCUCACGCUUGAAUACAUUAGCAUGGAAUAAUGAAAUAGGACGUUUGAUUCUAUUUUGUUGGUUUCUAGGAUCGACGUAAUGAUUAAUAGGGAUAGUUGGGGGCAUUAGUAUUCAAUUGUCAGAGGUGAAAUUCUUGGAUUUAUUGAAGACUAACUACUGCGAAAGCAUUUGCCAAGGAUGUUUUCAUUAAUCAAGAACGAAAGUUAGGGGAUCGAAGACGAUCAGAUACCGUCGUAGUCUUAACC
rnacentral:rRNA from 1 species